rnacentral:rRNA from 1 species
UGGGGAAUAUUGGACAAUGGGCGAAAGCCUGAUCCAGCAAUGCAGCGUGUGUGAAGAAGGCCUGCGGGUUGUAAAGCACUUUCAGUAGGGAAGAUAAUGACGGUACCUACAGAAGAAGCACCGGCUAACUCCGUGCCAGCAGCCGCGGUAAUACGGAGGGUGCAAGCGUUAAUCGGAAUUACUGGGCGUAAAGAGUACGUAGGAUGUGAUGCAAGUCGGAUGUGAAAUCCCUGGGCUUAACCUAGGAACUGCAUUCGAAACUACAUUACUAGAGUGUAGUAGAGGAAAGCGGAAUUUCGGGUGUAGCGGUGAAAUGCGUAGAUAUCCGAAAGAACAUCAGUGGCGAAGGCGGCUUUCUGGACUAACACUGACUCUGAGGUACGAAAGCGUGGGGAGCAAACAGG